rnacentral:rRNA from 1 species
AUUGAACGCUGGCGGCAUGCUUUACACAUGCAAGUCGAACGGAAGCACGUCGCUAGGUGCCGGCGAGUGACGUACGGGAGGGUAAUUCACCGGAACGUGCCCAGCCCUGGAGGAUAACUACUCGAAAGAGUAGCUAAUACCACAUACGAUAUAUGCUUGAAAGCCGGGGUCAGUAAGGGCACGCGCGAUUGGAACGGCCGAUGUCCGAUUAGGUAGUUCAUGGGCUAAAGGCUCACCAAGCCCACGAUCUUGAGCUGGUCUGAGAGGACGACCUGCCACACUAGAACUGAGACACGGCCCAGACUCCUACGGGAGGCAGCAGUCGGGAAUUUUGGACAAUGGGCGCAAGCCUGCUCCAGCAGUGCCGCGUGCAGGAAGAAGGCCUUCGGGUUGUAAACUGCUUUUGUGCGGAGCGAAAAGGCUCUGGUUAAUACCCGGGGCUAAUGACGGUACCGUAAGAAUAAGCACCGGCUAACUACGUG